AAGAUUAAAAAGAAUGGAUAGAAACUUUUUUGUUUCUUUUUUUGAAUGAAUGGAGGUUAAGUACAUAUCCUUGACUUUAAUCUAUAAUAUAUAACUUGAGAGGUUAUAUAGGCCUUGGAAAACAAACCUUUCACUAUAUUUCUUUGUUGCACUAGUCAAGAAUUCUAAGUUUAACUGAAGAAUAAUUUAAUUGUGAUAGGAGGA
rnacentral:lncRNA from 1 species